ACACGCGCCCAUCCCCCCACAUCUCACGGUCGGAGUCAGUUUCACAGAGCAGCGCAGGAGGACGACAGACACAUAAAGAACAUUAACAGUUUAGCACAAAUGUUUCCCGUGGAAGUUUGAAUCUCUCUCAGUCAGGGGGGAGAUUGACUGACAGACUGUCUACUCGCCACCAAACAGUAAUUUACCCUGAAACCUUUUACAGUAAGGACUAACGUUAACUGACUGUCUGUCUGCUCUCAACCAAACAGUCAUUCAGGACCUUGUAAAGUUUAGCGCAAACGUUUCCUGCGCAAGUUUGAAUCUCUCAGUCAGGGGGGAGAUUGACUGACAGACUGUCUACUUGCCACCAGUCAGUUACACAGAAACCUUUUAAAGUUUAGCACAAACGUUUCCCGCGCAAGUUUGGAUCUUUACCAUUGAGGGUGGCUGACUGUUCUCUACCAACCAUCAUUCACACGCAAAAACUUUAAAGAUAAGUAUGAACGUGCCCAGAGCAGUUUUCGAUCUUUACCAUUAAGGUGGCUGACUGACUAUCCUCUACCACCCGUCAUUAACACAACAAAAACUAAAGAAAUGUAACUCCAUAUGGACCUAUUCAUUUACUCAUUAUGCUGUGAGUACACCACAGUUUUAUCAGGGAAAAAAUGUAUAUUUGUGUGUUUCUCACUGCUUGGCAAGGACAGAUGUGGCCCUGUUAAAAAUGUUUAAAUGUCGUUUGGUUUAAGGAACAGCACACUGAUUUUGUUUUAAAAUAUUCCUGUUUGGACAGUCUGUUAAAGUCAUAAAGCAGGGCCGGGGA